rnacentral:rRNA from 1 species
GACAGAGGAUGCAAGCGUUAUCCGGAAUGAUUGGGCGUAAAGCGUCUGUAGGUGGCUUUUUAAGUCUGCCGUCAAAUCCCAGGGCUUAACCCUGGACAGGCGGUGGAAACUACCAAGCUGGAGUACGGUAGGGGCAGAGGGAAUUUCCGGUGUAGCAGUGAAAUGCGUAGAUAUCGAUAAGGAAGACCAGUGGCGAAGACGAAUCUCUGGACAGUUACUGACACUGAGGCACGAAGGCCAGGGGAGCAAACGGG